rnacentral:rRNA from 1 species
GACGAACGCUGGCGGCGUGCUUAACACAUGCAAGUCGAACGGAAAGGCCCUGCUUUUGUGGGGUGCUCGAGUGGCGAACGGGUGAGUAACACGUGAGUAACCUGCCCUUGACUUUGGGAUAACUUCAGGAAACUGGGGCUAAUACCGGAUAGGAGCUCCUGCUGCAUGGUGGGGGUUGGAAAGUUUCGGCGGUUGGGGAUGGACUCGCGGCUUAUCAGCUUGUUGGUGGGGUAGUGGCUUACCAAGGCUUUGACGGGUAGCCGGCCUGGGAGGGUGACCGGCCACAUUGGGACUGGGAUACGGCCCAGACUCCUACGGGGGGCAGGAGGGGGGAAUAUUGCACAAUGGGCGGAAGCCUGAUGCAGCAACGCCGCGUGCGGGAUGACGGCCUUCGGGUUGUAAACCGCUUUCGCCUGUGACGAAGCGUGAGUGACGGUAAUGGGUAAAGAAGCACCGGCUAACUACGU